rnacentral:tRNA from 1 species
GGGGAUGUGGCCCAGUAGUGGAGCAUUUGCCUAACAUGCACAAGGCCCUGGGUUUGAUCCCAGCAUUACAG